ACGCCAAACUGACAGAAAAAGUAGAGUAAAAAAAUGCAAAAAAUUACUAACAAAUAUAAUAUGUACAUCAUUUAUAAGGGAAAGUGCAUUUUCACCAUUUUAAUCAUCUUGAGAUUUUUUGAUAAGUUUGAUUUCAGUGAUAUUUUGAUCACUAAACUAAAAUGUCACCUUAAUAAUAUUUAGCUUCCCAAAAGUAUUUUGAUGUUUGAUGUUUGUGCAAAAGACAUUUUCAAGUCUAAGAUCAAUUACCCUUGUGCGUCUGGCCUGGCUUUUGUUAAUGAACAGCUGCUGGCAAACUUAUUUGUGAUGUGUCAUAUGUGAGACUCACAGAUAGGACCAGCUGUAGUCCCAUGUCUUAGGUCUCCAGUCUUCUGGACCCAACUGGACAGCCAGCUGGAAAGCUGUGGUGAACAUCAUAUGUGCAACCAUUCCGAAAAGGCCUGGGGCACAGAAAAAUUACAGUGUGUAAGGUGUAAUUUUUGACUUUAUCCACAAGAUGUCAGUAUGAGUUUCAGUAUAAUGACAAACUCUGUCCAGUUGCACAGCCAGCCUAAUAAGCAAAAAAUUAUUCAUUGUGAUUUAUUAAUAUGCGUUUUACAUUCUUGUACCAAUCAUUAGCAUUAAUGUAAUAGCAUUAUAUUAAUUCUAAUUUCUGAAGUUGCAUCGAUCUGAAAAGAAUGUACAGUAGUAACACUUAAUGCCUUUUUAACAUGUUAUGUUGAUUAUAGGUUGAAAACAUGAAUUUAUAUUAUAUUAUAUUUCAGAAGGCCCCAACACUAUGCCAUGCAUAUGCAUCAUAUGGCAGGUACUGCUGUGCAUCGAGUGUGCUGGUGAGCAUUCCUACAAUCAUCAGGAUUAGUGCAAAUAUAGGGGGAGGGAGGAUGGUCUCCGCUGGCCAUGUCACGUACCAAAACCACUAACCCCCACACCAAUCCGAUUACAGCACAAACCACCAAAUCCCCACGCUGUUGGGACAGAUCACUCAUUCAGACCAGAGCAGACAGGCAGCUUCCUGUCCAGAACAACCUAUCCUCUUGCCCACCCCCACACAUAUUCCCUGCAAAACAUCUUUUACUUAAUCUUUUUUUUCUUGUUUUUCAGUAACAAUAUUGAAAUAUUUGCUUUACACAAAAAAUUGUCAAACAGUUUUGUUUGAAUUGUUUUAUUUUGUUGUUUUGAGCAUAAACCUCUUUUCAAUUAAGUUUGCGUAUUUUUAAUAAAAAACAACAAGACCGUAAUUAGCAAAUAAUUAACCAAAAAAUGAAAAAAAGACAAUUUUUUUUUUUAAUGCACAUUUUUCCCUUUAUAUUUUUCUAUGGAAGCCCAUUUCCACUACUAAAUAAAAAAUUAUAAAAGGUAACUGUGAGUUUUUAUCUCACAAUUUUAACUUUUUUUUUUUGCAAUUGUGAGUUUUUUUUUCUUCUUAGAAUUGCAUUAUACAAACUUGCAAUUCUGACUUUUUUUUCCUUAUAAUUGUGAGUUAUAAACAGCAGGGGUCAGUUUCAUAAACUUAGCCUCUGUGUUAAGAUCAUGUCUUAAGAACUAGUUUGACCAACUAGCAGUUAACCAAGGGGUAAUCAGUCUUAUAUUUUGGAUUCAACUUGGACUAAUCCAAGUUUUUACGUAACUGAAUAAAUUUUUUUUUUUAAGAAAAAAAUGUGAUGACUUACUUUUAAGACUAGUCUUAACCUUUUAUGCAACCAGCCCCUGUUUUGAGAAAAAAAAGUCAGAAUUGCAUGAUAUAAACUCACAAUUGCGAGUUAUAAAGUCAGAACUGUGUAAUAUAAACUUGCAAUUCUGACUUUUUUCUCAGAAUUGUAUGAUAUAAACUCGCAAUGGCGAGUUAUAAAGUCAGAAUUGCAUAAUAUAAACUCACAAUUAUGACUUUUUCUCAGAAUUGCGUGAUAUAAACUCGCAGUUAUUACUUUUUUUCUCAGAAUUGUUAUUAAGUCAGAAUUGUGAGAUAUAAACUCACAAUUCCAAGAACAUAUCAGUCUUUUUUACAAAAUUGGACUUUAUAACAUGCAGUUUCAAAUUUAUAUCUCACAAUUCUAACUUUAUAACUCACAAUUGUGAGUUUAUAUCACAGUUCUGAGAAAAAAGUCAGAAUUGCGAGUUUUUAUCAUGCACAAAAUCAGAAAUGUGAACUAAAAAGUCGCAAUAACUACAUAACCAUUGAGGAAUUUUAACCAAAGUAUGUUGUAGACAUUUCAUGAAGAACCUAAAGAAUCAUACCAACUGAAAAAUAGGCGUCCAAUGUCCCCUUUAAGCAUUGUGAUUGCAAAUUUUAAACAUUUUUAGUGUUGGUAUGUUAAAAUGUUUUAUUCAGUGGCGGAAACGGGCUUCCAUAUUUCUGUAUUCUCAAACUGACAAAAAACAAACUAACAAAAAAAAACAAAAACGCAGUGUCAGUGUUGGCCAUUAGUGGGCACACUUUUUUUGGUGCAUUGAUUUGUUGUUGUAAGCAGCCCUGAAGUGCAGGAUUCCUUUCUGAUUCUUUUAUACUUUGUAACAUCAAACAAACAAAUAAAUUAUUUGUUUGUUUGUUGUUUAAAUGCACAAAAAAAGAAAUUGCGGCACAAAAAUAGUGCUGAAUAUAAAUUUAGGAAUUAAAUUUUUUUCAACCUUGCCCUUCAGGGCUAGUGCGGCAUUUCUGUGCUGAUGUGUGCGGCAUUGCUGACCCAUCAUUGCUCUCUGUAAAGUGUUGGGAACACGUGGAGUUGGAUUUGUGCUGUAUAAUCUCAUCUCUGUUUCACAGCUGGGACUGACUGGCAGGAGUUGAGCUAGCAGGAUUUUUUUUUUGCUUUUCUGCCAAAUGAGCAUUCAACAGGGACUAAUGUUCCUCUUUCUGUCGGAGCUGAAGUUGUGGAAGCACAGGAAACACAGUCGAACGCAUACCAUGAGUCUGUAUUUAUUGUAGUUUUCUUUUAGAAAUUCAUUUUUAUUUAAUAUUAUUAUCACUUUUACUUGUAGUAAUUAUAGACAAACACCAUUUUCAGAAUUAACUAUUCAUAAAUAAAGAAGCCUGUCAAUAUGUCCCACCCCAACUUUGCUCUUCUGUUUUUCAUUUUAUAGAAAUGAGUUACCUGAGAGAGCGGUGCACAGAGCUGCGAAGGCAUUCAGCUUGAGUCUGUUAAUCAAGUUAAAGCACGGACACAUCUCUAUCACCAUCAGAGCUCCACCGGUGAACAGCAGAGCAAUGUACAGACACUCAGCCACAAUACACAGCCACAGCACUCCUGAAAGAGACAGAGAGAGCUGGUUCUCUUGAUGCUGCAAUAGUUGCUGAGAAGACCCUCAGGUGUGACAGUUGUCUGAAUCCUGUAUAGAAACAUGACAAUAUAGUGAUUUUAUCAUAGCAUUUCAGCCGUGCAUUUGAGACGCUUCAGAUGUUUUUAUGACUCAUGACUGACACUGCUUUUUAGCUGACCUGUUAGUAAGGAAAGAGAGAGCAAGCACCCUUCCAUCACAACAUGGUUCUCAGACAACAGCAGACUGUUCAUACACUUCAUACGACAAUGUACUCUUGUUUACUCCACAAUACAAGGCUUUUGGAGUACAGGAAUUGUGCCUCAUGUCACACAUCCAUGACACUGUGUCCACAGUGAGUGGUGCCUUCAUGGAUUCACGCUGCGUCCUUUUUGCCGACUCAGACUUCUCUCAAAUGUGUCAUUAUAGGUUUUUCAAACCAUAAAACAGGUAUACCUUUCAAUUUUUAUUUCAAUAAAGUGCUUACUAUGGUUGUUGGCAUUUGAGAGGCUCUCAUUGUGGGGCAGGAAGGUCUUCCUCUUUGGAGAACGGAGCAAGUGUCACUUUCUCAAGGCUUUUACAGCUGAUAUGUUGAGGUGUCGAAAAAGGAUAUGGGGAUCUAUGUCUAUCUUUAAUUUGAGUCUACUGAACUACAUUCUUCUCAACUGCAGUUUGAGGGUGCUGAUGGAGAAGCAUAUCAUGGCCGGGAAAUUUUGUCACUACAGAUCUGAAGGGUGUUUACUUCCAUAUUCAGAUCAUUUAGAGAUACAAGUUUCUCAGUUUGCUUUUAUGGGUAAAGCUUACCAAUUCUUCCUGGUUCCUUUCAGCCUAGCCCUAGCAUUUGCACAAUUAUAAAGUGCAUGGAUAUUACUCUGACUCCAUUGGACUCCAGAGCAUUUGGAAGUGUCCGAAUACCAAAUGAAAUGACGUAUGCUACCGAACCCCUAAAGUGAAUAAAUACAAGAUGGGAGGACAAAUAUCUUUCAGUGCUUUCUAUCAAAAUUAUAUUGAUGGGUAAUUAUACUGUAUACAAAUUUACAGCAUUAGGAAGUCGCUAUGAAUAUGCAGGGCAUUGAAAUCGCUUUUGAAUGGCGCGUUUGCAUUUUACUUUCACUUUCAAGAUUAGCAAUGACAAUUACUUUGUUUAUACUACAUUUUACAGGAAUAGAUGUUUGUCAGGAGUGCUCAGGAUCUACAAAUCAUUUGCCAUCGUCCUAUCAGUCAUCUCUCCUUACUCUGUUUAUGUGGAGAACCAGAUCCCUGCAUGGAACUUCCUCAUGAGGAACUUCUCCUCUCCGGUCUCGUAGAUGUACUGCACC